rnacentral:tRNA from 1 species
GAUACUGUAGCUUAACUGGCAAAGCUGGGAGCUGUUAACUCUCAAGAUGUAAGUUCGAAUCUUACUGGUAUCG